rnacentral:misc_RNA from 1 species
AAGUCGUAACAAGGUUUCCGAAGGUGAACGUUAAACCCCCCCGUGAACCUUCAGUGCGCUCGCACUUUCUUAGAAAAGGUAGCAAUCCCUGGUACAUCAUUGCCGAACAGUUUUGAUUCAGGGACUUCUGCGUAGACUGUGCUUGAGCGUGAGGCAAGUGGCCUGGCAUUCCUCUGCUUGUUGGUGUCUGAAAGUGUCACCAGCUCUGUACGAAUGGCGCAGUCACGAUCGCUAGAGGCCGACACGGCCGGCGACCGGGUCACUGGGCGCGAGCCCCCCUCGUCACCUUUGCAUGAAAACGGGCCUGCGCUUAAUUGUGCGGCCACCAAACUCGAACAACUGUUAACAAUGGAUAUCUUGGUUCUC